UGGGGAAUAUUGGACAAUGGGGGCAACCCUGAUCCAGCCAUGCCGCGUGGGUGAAGAAGGCCUGCGGGUUGUAAAGCCCUUUCAGCGGGGAAGAACGGCUUGGGAUAAACAGUCCUGAGUCAUGACGUUACUCGCAGAAGAAGCACCGGCUAACUCCGUGCCAGCAGCCGCGGUAAUACGGAGGGUGCGAGCGUUAAUCGGAAUCACUGGGCGUAAAGCGCACGUAGGUGGCCGAAUCAGUCAGCUGUGAAAGCCCCGGGCUUAACCUGGGAAUGGCAGUUGAUACUGUUCGGCUCGAGUCUGUCAGAGGGGGGUGGAAUUCCAGGUGUAGCGGUGAAAUGCGUAGAGAUCUGGAGGAACACCAGUGGCGAAGGCGGCCCCCUGGGGCAAGACUGACGCUGAGGUGCGACAGCGUGGGGAGCAAACA
rnacentral:rRNA from 1 species